GUGCUCACUUCGGCAGCACGUAUACAUAUAUUAGAAUUAUACAGAGAAGAUUAGCAUGACCCCUGCACAAGGAUGACACACAAAAUCAUAAAGUGUUUCCUAGUUUU
ensembl:snRNA U6 U6 spliceosomal RNA